rnacentral:rRNA from 1 species
AGCAGCCGCGGUAAUUCCAGCUCCAAUAGCGUAUAUUAAAGUUGUUGCAGUUAAAAAGCUCGUAGUUGAAUUUCGGGGUCAGUAGGUUGGUCGUGCCACUGGUAUGCACUGGUCUCACUGAUUCCUCCCUCUUGUAGAACCGUAAUGCCAUUAAUUUGGUGUUGCGGGGAAACAGGACUGUUACUUUGAAAAAAUUAGAGUGUUUAAAGCAGGCUAACGCUUGAAUACAUUAGCAUGGAAUAAUGAAAUAGGACGUUCGAUCCUAUUUUGUUGGUUUCUAGGAUUGACGUAAUGAUUAAUAGGGAUAGUUGGGGGCAUUAGUAUUCAAUUGUCAGAGGUGAAAUUCUUGGAUUUAUUGAAGACUGACUACUGCGAAAGCAUUUGCCAAGGAUGUUUUCAUUAAUCAAGAACGAAAGUUAGGGGAUCGAAGACGAUCAGAUACCGUCGUAGUCUUAACCAUAAACUAUGCCGACUAGGGAUCGGAUGAUGUUAAUUUUUUAAUGACUCAUUCGGCGCCUUA